rnacentral:rRNA from 1 species
GAUGAACGCUGGCGGCGUGCCUAACACAUGCAAGUCGAACGGAGUUUAUGAAAUUUUCGGAUGGAUUAAGCUUAGUGGCGGACGGGUGAGUAACGCGUGGGUAACCUGCCUCAUACAGGGGGAUAACAGCCGGAAACGGCUGCUAAAACCGCAUAAUAUAUAGAAGCCGCAUGACUUUUAUAUUAAAUAUUCAUAGGUAUGAGAUGGGCCCGCGUCUGAUUAGCUGGUUGGUAGGGUAACGGCCUACCAAGGCGACGAUCAGUAGCCGGCUUGAGAGAGUGACCGGCCACAUUGGGACUGAGACACGGCCCAAACUCCUACGGGAGGCAGCAGUGGGGAAUAUUGCACAAUGGGGGAAACCCUGAUGCAGCGACGCCGCGUGAGUGAAGAAGUAUUUCGGUAUGUAAAGCUCUAUCAGCAGGGAAGAAAAUGACGGUACCUGACUAAGAAGCCCCGGCUAACUACGUGCCAGCAGCCGCGGUAAUACGUAGGGGGCAAGCGUUAUCCGGAUUUACUGGGUGUAAAGGGAGCGUAGGUGGUCGGAUAAGUCAGAUGUGAAAGCCCGGGGCUCAACCCCGGGACUGCAUUUGAAACUAUCCGGCUGGAGUGCAGGAGAGGUAAGUGGAAUUCCUAGUGUAGCGGUGAAAUGCGUAGAUAUUAGGAGGAACACCAGUGGCGAAGGCGGCUUACUGGACUGUAACUGACACUGAGGCUCGAAAGCGUGGGGAGCAAACAGGAUUAGAUACCCUGGUAGUCCACGCUGUAAACGAUGAAUACUAGGUGUCGGGGGUCAAAAGACCUCCGGUGCCGCAGCUAACGCAAUAAGUAUUCCACCUGGRGAGUACGUUCGCAAGAAUGAAACUCAAAGGAAUUGACGGGGACCCGCACAAGCGGUGGAGCAUGUGGUUUAAUUCGAAGCAACGCGAAGAACCUUACCAGGUCUUGACAUCCCCCUGACCGGUCCGUAACGGGACCUUUCCUUCGGGACAGGGGAGACAGGUGGUGCAUGGUUGUCGUCAGCUCGUGUCGUGAGAUGUUGGGUUAAGUCCCGCAACGAGCGCAACCCUUAUCCUUAGUAGCCAGCACGUUAAGGUGGGCACUCUAGGGAGACUGCCAGGGAUAACCUGGAGGAAGGCGGGGAUGACGUCAAAUCAUCAUGCCCCUUAUGAUCUGGGCUACACACGUGCUACAAUGGUGGCUACAAAGAGAAGCAGCCCUGUGAAGGUGAGCAAAUCUCAGAAAAGCCAUCCCAGUUCGGAUUGUAGUCUGCAACCCGACUACAUGAAGCUGGAAUCGCUAGUAAUCGCGAAUCAGAAUGUCGCGGUGAAUACGUUCCCGGGUCUUGUACACACCGCCCGUCACACCAUGGGAGUCGGAUAUGCCCGAAGUCAGUGACCCAACCCAUCUUAGUGAGCAUGACGUCGUGAUAAUUGGAUGAACGAAGUGGAUUCAAUUAUAUUCGUAAUAAGAAUACGAUCACGGAGUCAGUCAUGCUUAGUAAGAUGGGAGGGAGCUGCCGAAGGUGGAGCCGAUGACUGGGGUG